AUUUAUAUAAUUUAAUAAAAAUAUUAUAUUUUCAUUAUAAAAACAAUAAAUAAAUUUAUUUAUAAAUA
rnacentral:tRNA from 1 species